rnacentral:rRNA from 1 species
CCUACGGGAGGCAGCAGUGAGGAAUAUUGGUCAAUGGGCGCGAGCCUGAACCAGCCAAGUAGCGUGAAGGAUGACUGCCCUACGGGUUGUAAACUUCUUUUAUAAAGGAAUAAAGUGAGGCACGUGUGCCUUUUUGUAUGUACUUUAUGAAUAAGGAUCGGCUAACUCCGUGCCAGCAGACGCGGUAAUACGGAGGAUCCGAGCGUUAUCCGGAUUUAUUGGGUUGAAAGGGAGCGUAGAUGGGUUGUUAAGUCAGUUGUGAAAGUUUGAGGCGCAACCGUAAAAUUGCAUUUGAUACUGGCAGCCUUGAGUACAGUAGAGGUAGGCGGAACUCGUGGUGUAGCGGUGGAAUGCUUAGAUAUAACGAAGAACUCCGAUUGCGAAGGCAGCCUACUAAACUGCCACUGACAUUGAUGCUCGAAAGUGUGGGUAUCAAACAGGAUUAGAUACCCGUGUAGUC